rnacentral:tRNA from 1 species
GCAAUAAAAGCUAAAAUUAGAAGCAACGGUCUUGUAAACCGAAGAUUAGAGAAUUUUCUCUUUAUUGCU